rnacentral:rRNA from 2 species
AUUAUGGAGAGUUUGAUCCUGGCUCAGGAUGAACGCUGGCGGCGUGCCUAAUACAUGCAAGUCGAGCGAACAGACGAG